rnacentral:rRNA from 1 species
GUGUCAGCAGCCGCGGUAAUACGGAGGGUGCAAGCGUUAUUCGGAAUUAUUGGGCGUAAAGGGCGCGUAGGCGGUCUUUUAAGUCAGAUGUGAAAGCCCGGGGCUCAACCCCGGAAGUGCAUUUGAAACUAAUAGACUUGAGUAUGGGAGAGGGAAGUGGAAUUCCUGGUGUAGAGGUGAAAUUCGUAGAUAUCAGGAGGAACACCGGUGGCGAAGGCGACUUCCUGGACCAAUACUGACGCUGAGGCGCGAAGGCGUGGGGAGCAAACAGGAUUAGAUACCCUCGUAGUCC